rnacentral:tRNA from 1 species
GGUGGGGUACCGAAGUGGUCAACCGGGGCAGACUGUAAAUCUGUUGUCUUCGACUUCGUAGGUUCGAAUCCUACCCCCACCACCA